rnacentral:rRNA from 1 species
CUUGAGAGCGGCGGACGGGUGAGUAAUGCCUAGGAAUCUGCCUGGUAGUGGGGGAUAACGUUCGGAAACGGACGCUAAUACCGCAUACGUCCUACGGGAGAAAGCAGGGGACCUUCGGGCCUUGCGCUAUCAGAUGAGCCUAGGUCGGAUUAGCUAGUUGGUGGGGUAAUGGCUCACCAAGGCGACGAUCCGUAACUGGUCUGAGAGGAUGAUCAGUCACACUGGAACUGAGACACGGUCCAGACUCCUACGGGAGGCAGCAGUGGGGAAUAUUGGACAAUGGGCGAAAGCCUGAUCCAGCCAUGCCGCGUGUGUGAAGAAGGUCUUCGGAUUGUAAAGCACUUUAAGUUGGGAGGAAGGGCCGUUACCUAAUACGUGAUGGUUUUGACGUUACCGACAGAAUAAGCACCGGCUAACUCUGUGCCAGCAGCCGCGGUAAUACAGAGGGUGCAAGCGUUAAUCGGAAUUACUGGGCGUAAAGCGCGCGUAGGUGGUUUGUUAAGUUGGAUGUGAAAUCCCCGGGCUCAACCUGGGAACUGCAUUCAAAACUGACUGAC